rnacentral:rRNA from 14 species
GUGAAAUACCACUCUGAUUGUUCUGGUUAUCUCACUGUGGACCGUGAUCCGGUUCAAGGACAGUGCCUGAUGGGUAGUUUGACUGGGGCGGUCGCCUCCUAAAGGGUAACGGAGGCGCCCAAAGGUUCCCUCAGCCUGGUUGGCAAUCAGGUGUUGAGUGCAAGUGCACAAGGGAGCUUGACUGUGAGACAGACAUGUCGAGCAGGGACGAAAGUCGGGACUAGUGAUCCGGCGGCUCGUUGUGGAACGGCCGUCGCUCAACGGAUAAAAGGUACCCCGGGGAUAACAGGCUGAUCUUCCCCAAGAGUCCAUAUCGACGGGAUGGUUUGGCACCUCGAUGUCGGCUCGUCGCAUCCCGG